rnacentral:rRNA from 1 species
CCCUACGGGGGGCAGCAGUGAGGAAUAUUGGUCAAUGGGCGCGAGCCUGAACCAGCCAAGUCGCGUGAGGGAAGACGGUCCUAUGGAUUGUAAACCUCUUUUGUCGGGGAGCAAAAGACGCCACGUGUGGCGUUCCGAGAGUACCCGAAGAAAAAGCAUCGGCUAACUCCGUGCCAGCAGCCGCGGUAAUACGGAGGAUGCGAGCGUUAUCCGGAUUUAUUGGGUUUAAAGGGUGCGCAGGCGGAAGAUCAAGUCAGCGGUAAAAUUGAGAGGCUCAACCCCUUCGAGCCGUUGAAACUGGUUUU